rnacentral:lncRNA from 1 species
UGCCAAGUCUUACAGUACCAGAUAGGCAAUAGGUUUCACGCCCUUUCCUUAUCUCGGCCAUUCUGUCACCGAUGUCUAUUCCAUCAGCUGCCAAUUCCUUGUUUCUUUAACCUAUGGACUAACCAUGGUCUAAGAUACAGGGAGUGUAAAGAACAGACAUUGUUGCAUACCAUUUCCUCUGUUUUAACAUAUUUUCUCAGUAACCGUUCCUACUCCGGACAGUCACCUCUUCAAUGGAAUCAACCAUUUACAGUCACCUCCAAAGCAAUUUUAGCUGCUUGAUACCACCAUAUCUUAGGAAUAUAGAAGGGAGGCAGGGGAGAGACCCUAAUUCUAGAGUAACCAGCAAAUAGCAAUGACUCACUUCAAGACACAGUCUGGUCAGAGUCUCCAUGUCCUUAUGGCUUUCUUUGUAUAGAGAAUAUAUCAUAAGGUGAUGUUUUCCUCUCAGUUUGUACAUUAAUUAUGAUCUGUGUGUGGUUGUAUGUAUGUGGAGACCCUACAGUUUCAUUAAGAUAGAAGAUUCUCCAUAUAAGUCCAAUCUGUUAUGUUGUCCCUCAUCUAGAAAGUCACCUGAGAGCAGGCUGUUUUCCCAUUCUUCUAUCCCUAGAGUUUUGUCCUGGUCCAAUGGCCCAGACUGUUUCACGCUCGUGUCCAUAUGCCAGCUAUAAGGAAGAGGGGAAGGGAAGGACACACCCCUUCCCUGUUAGGGAAAUUGUGUACAUCACUUCCAGUCACAUGACACUGGCCAGGUCUUCACCACAUAGCCACACCUAACUGCAAGAGUGCCUGGGAGAGGUAGUCUUUACUCUGGGUCUACAUGUAUUGAGUUACACUUUACAUAUUCCUUCCUAUAGAAUGCUGAGGAAAGAUACUAUAUAAAUAGCAAUCUCUACUAUACCAUUGGGUCAGGCUAGAUUUUAUGACAUGGCAGCCAAAAUGGUUACCAGGAUGUUCAAGACCUGCAUCCUACCAGACAGGAAACCCCAGUGAAAAAAGGCAAUAUAUUCUGAUGUCUCUGGCAGAUAAUUCCUGGAGGACCUGGGACUCUAGAUAGCCUCUUGUAAUAGACAAUAACUUGUAAACAGAUGAAGUUGGGGGAUGGGAAUGUUAAGGAAGACCAAUAAGGAAAUAACCUCAAUAAAGGGUUACAGUUCCUUCAAAGACAAUAAGAGUUCCAAUGAUGGGAAUGUACAGGUUACAGCAUGUAUUUUGUUUUGACUUGAUCCUAGACUAUGAGGGGAAGUUUGGAAUGGGAACAAGCUGGCCAUGUUGGUUAGCAUCAGACCUUGGAAACUUUGUAUGCUGUGCCAAGGAGUUGACUGUUUUUGUGUACAGGGUGAAUUCACUGAGAUUUUUUAGGCAGAGGGAGAAGCAGGAUCCCUGUGGGGAGCCUGAUGUGGGACUCUAUCCUGGGACCUGGGGAUCAUGCCCUGAGCAGAAGCCAGAUGCUCAACCACUGAGCAACCCAGGUGUCCCUUAAAUUUUAUUUAAAUUCAACUUGUCAACAUAUAAUAUAAUCCCCAGUGCCCAUCACAGCACAUGCCCUCCUUGAUGCCUCACCCACUUACCCUAUCCGCUCACCCACCUCCCGUUCUACAACUCUUUGUUUCACAGAGUUAGGAGUGUCUCAUGGUUUAUCUUCCUCUCUAAUUUUUCCCAUUCAGUUUCCCUCCUUUCCCUUAUGGUCCCUUUCACUAUUUCUUAUGUUCCGCCUAUGAAUGAAACCAUAUGAUGAUAAUUGUCUUUCUCCAAUUGACUUAUUUCACUCAGUAUAAUACCCUUCAGUUCCAUCCAUGUCAAAGCAAAUGGUGAGUCUUCGUCCUUUCUGAUGGCUAAUAUUCCAUCAUGUAUAUACAGACCACAUCUUCUUUAUCCAUUCAUCUGUCAGAGGACAUCGUGGCUCCUUCCACAGUUUGGCUAUUGUGGACACUGCUGUUACGAACACUGUAGAGCCCACAUUUCUUAUUUAGACCUAAAGAACUUUAAAUAAUAUACCAUGGAUCAUACUGCUAGUUAUCAGUAAUACUGGAAUUAGAACUGGUUUCCUAUAUUUUAAUCAGGGCACUUUGUGCACAGGACACCAGUGCACCUCUUGCGUCCCAAAAAUCAUUUAUGGUGAAAACUACAUCAUUUUUUCAGUGUGUACACCACCUCAAAUAUAAGAUUGGGAAAGUAAAGUCUCAGUUGUUCCACAUGAGCUGUAUUUCAUCCUCCCACCUAGUCCUUAGGCACCAUAGAGCACUGAAUCUAUAAUUUAUGCACCCCAAUCCUAGGAACUCUGAAUAAAGAGAUGUCCAGACUUAAAGCAAAAUUGAGCACAAUCUCAGCACAACUGAGGAAGAAAAUUAAAAUUUGGUCUUAGGGGAUGCCUGGGUGGCUGAGCAGUUAAGCAUUUGCCUUUGGCUCAGGGUGUGAUCCCAGAGUCCCAGGAUUGAGUCCCACAUCGAGCUCCCUGCAGGGAGCCUGCUUCUCCCUCUGCCUCUCUCUCUCUCUCUCUGUCUCUAUGAAUAAAUAAAUAAAAUUUUUUAAAAAUUUGGUUUUAGUUCAGAAUAAAACCCAAGGAAAAAUGGAAUGAUCCAUUUUUCCAGUGAUCAAAUGGAAUGAUUUUAUAUAUUAAAACACACAGUAUUAUUUUUAGUGUUAUAUUAUGCCUUUAUUUUUAAUAUUGCAUUUGGUAGUUAUACUAUUCAUAUUUGUGGUAUUAUAUUUUGACCAUUUUGGUUCUGAUACACUUCAAUAAUCUCAAAUCAGAGCAUUGAACUAACUUAAUACAUUUCAAACUUUUCUUAUAUUUAAAUUCAUGGUUAUGAUAUUAAAUAUGUCAAGGUAAUAAUAAAGUAUACUUUAUCAAAUAG